GAUUCGUCACACUAUCAUUAACUGAAUCCAUAGGUUAAUGAGGCGAACCGGGGGAACUGAAACAUCUAAGUACCCCGAGGAAAAGAAAUCAACCGAGAUUCCCCCAGUAGCGGCGAGCGAACGGGGAGGAGCCCAGAGCCUGAAUCAGCAUGUGUGUUAGUGGAAGCGUCUGGAAAGGCGCGCGAUACAGGGUGACAGCCCCGUACACAAAAGCGCAUGUGCUGUGAGCUCGAUGAGUAGGGCGGGACACGUGGUAUCCUGUCUGAAUAUGGGGGGACCAUCCUCCAAGGCUAAAUACUCCUGACUGACCGAUAGUGAACCAGUACCGUGAGGGAAAGGCGAAAAGAACCCCGGCGAGGGGAGUGAAAAAGAACCUGAAACCGUGUACGUACAAGCAGUGGGAGCACCCUUCGGGGUGUGACUGCGUACCUUUUGUAUAAUGGGUCAGCGACUUAUAUUCUGUAGCAAGGUUAACCGUAUAGGGGAGCCGCAGGGAAACCGAGUCUUAAU
rnacentral:rRNA from 1 species